ACUCCUACGGGAGGCAGCAGUGGGAAUAUUGCACAAUGGGCGCAAGCCUGAUGCAGCCAUGCCGCGUGUGUGAAGAAGGCCUUCGGUUGUAAAUGCACUUUCAGUCGUGAGGAAGGUAGUGUAGUUAAUAGCUGCAUUAUUUGACGUUAGCGACAGAAGAAGCACCGGCUAACUCCGUGCCAGCAGCCGCGGUAAUACGGAGGGUGCGAGCG
rnacentral:rRNA from 1 species